UUGACCUCGGAUCAGGUAGGGAUACCCGCUGAACUUAAGCAUAUCAAAGCGCGGGGAGGAAAAAA
rnacentral:rRNA from 1 species